rnacentral:tRNA from 1 species
CAGAAGUUAGACUCUUCUUACCUGCC